GGAUGUGAGGGAGGUCUGGCUGCAACAUCUGUCACCCCACUGAUCGCCAGGGCUGAUUCGGCUGAUCUAGACAGGCAGGUGGGCCCUUCCUCCCUCACUGUUCCAUGUGUGGCCCUCCCGAAGCUGCGUGCUGGGUGGAAGAGGACAACCACGCCCCUAUGGAUCUCCUUACGUUAUCUCAA
rnacentral:snRNA from 1 species